CCUACGGGGUGCAGCAGUCGAGAAUCAUUCACAAUGGGGGAAACCCUGAUGGUGCGACGCCGCGUGCGGGAAUGAAGGUCUUCGGAUUGUAAACCCCUGUCAUGUGGGAGCAAAUUAAAAAGCUAGUACCACAAGAGGAAUAGCCGGCUAACUCUGUGCCACCAGCCGCGGUACUACAGACGUCUCAAGCGUUGUUCUGCAUCCCUUGGCGUAAAGGGUGCGUAGGCUGUUUCGUAAGUCGUGUGGGAAAGGCGCGGGCUCAACCCGCGGACGGCAAAUGAUACGGGGAGGCUAGAGUAAUGGAGGGGGAAGCGGAAUUCUCGGUGUAGCAGUG
rnacentral:rRNA from 1 species